ACCUGGAUAGCUCAGUGGUUGAGCGUCUGCCUUUGGCUCAGGUCGUGAUCCUGGGGUCCUGUGGGAUCGAGUCCCACAUUGGGUU
rnacentral:tRNA from 1 species